ACCAAUUAUUUUACUCAUUUUAGUUUUUCUUACCAUUGCACCUAUCUUUUGAGCUUUAGCCAUAUUCUUUGUUCCAUUCAUUACAAGCCUUAUUCCCCAUCAUUACCCAACCUAUAGAAACCUGUGAGAGGAAGUGAGGAUUUGGAACUUGGUGAGUGCAAAAGAGAAAGGCCAGUAGUGAAAGAGAAGAAAAAAAGAAAAAUGAUUGAGUAAUCUGGUUGUGAUGAAAAAGAAGAAAGGGCAGGUCUGGAAAAAGAGCUAAAAUGCAAAAGAAUUGAACGAUAAGACCUGAGUGUGUAAAAACCAGAGAGAAAGAGCAAAGAAAUUUAAUUGGCAAAGUUAAAUGCACAGUGCACUGAGUUCUAGGUUCCUUUCUUCUCUUCCAAUUUCUAUUUCCAUUUAGCCUUGUGUUUUGUGACCCUUCAUACCAUAUAAUUACAAGCCAUUAAGACCUAUUGAUCUAAAUGAAGCCAAGAGUUGAGCAUUGUAAUUCAGAAUCUUUUCAAAAUUAAGAGUUGAGGUUAGCAUGUCAUGCUUGAGUGAAACAGGACACCUCUAAACAGUUGAGUGAGUUUGAGUGCAAACACAUGUUCCUGUGAGGUUGAAACUGACUUAUGCUUUCUUUAAUGUGUUCAUUGCUAAAAUUGGUUGAAUUUGGUUGUUUCUGAAAUGUUGGGAUUGUUGAAACUGAGGUUUGAAAUGAUUGAAAUUGCAAGAUUGAAUGAAGCUGUGAAUGAGUCUUGUGCCUCUUAUUAUGUGUUUAGUCUUUUUCAUUUUUAGAAUUGGGUCUUUCUUAUUCCUUUUGCUUUUU
rnacentral:lncRNA from 1 species